GUACUGGUGAGUGAGUAAACCUGGGGAAGAGGGUGCCUGGCUGCCUGCUGCCGCGGUUGUCCCUGCUGAUCCUCCGGAAUUUGAAGAUCCAGCAGAGUUCAGAUUUGAGACAGAAGACUGAGCGAGUGACCGUCCGCAAAGAAACAAAGGAUCAGAUAGUGGGCAGUAGGAUGUGGAAAUUGACGGCGCUUCUGUGCUGCGUUUGGGUAUUGAGCAUUCUCUACGGCGAGAUGGUUGCGUUUUGGCUACCGUCUCUGUGGACUUGUUCUUGGCCUCAACUUCGCCGAGCCUCUUCCCCCCAGAUGAUAGUUGAAGGAGUUAUCUCCUUCGUACGUUGCCUUUUU